GGGGAUAUACAUAUAAGACGAGAAGACCCCAUGGAGCUUUAAACCUGACAGCACCCGCUCAUUCUAUACCCCAUUAUUUGCCCGACCCCUGUCUGCUCAGUUUUAGGUUGGGGUGACCACGGAGUAUAAAAUAACCUCCAUGAAGAAGGGGAUAUUUCCCUUAUUAGAGAACCACACUUCCAAGAACUAAUAAAUUAAUUUUCAAUGACCCGAUACCCGAUAAUCGAUCAACGAACCAAGUUACCCUGGGGAUAACAGCGCAAUCCACCCUGAAAGCCCUUAUUAACAGGUGGGUUUACGACCUCGAUGUUGGAUCAGGGUAUCCCAGUGGUGCAGCAGCUACUGAGGGUUCGUUUGUUCAACGAUUAAAACCCU
rnacentral:rRNA from 1 species